UACGAAGGGGACUAGCGUUGUUCGGAUUCACUGGGCGUAAAGGGUGCGUAGGUGGUAAGGCAAGUCAGGUGUGAAAUCUCCGGGCUCAACCCGGAAAUGGCAUUCGAAACUACCUUGCUAGAGGGUUUGAGGGGGGACUGGAAUACUUGGUGUAGCAGUGAAAUGCGUAGAUAUCAGGAGGAACACCGGUGGCGAAAGCGGCGCACUGGCCCGAUAUUGACGCUCAUGUACGAAAGCGUGGGGAGCAAACAGG
rnacentral:rRNA from 1 species